rnacentral:lncRNA from 1 species
CAAAAAAUACCUGACAUUUGUGCUAAAGAACGAAAUGAGUAACGAGAGAGAUGAGAGAAUAUUUGCACGUCUAUGUUUAGCGAAAUGGUGUUUCUAACUAAACCAUUCUCAUCUGCUUCUUAUUAUAUGAUAGGAAAUCAAAGCUCUACUAGCACCACUUUUUUUGGAAGAUGUUUAAAAAAAAAGAGAAAAGAUAGAUUGGCAUUGCAUCCCAACUACAGACCACCAGGACAAGGUCAUAAGAAGGGGUGAACUCGUGUGCUGUGACUCUUGGCCAGCCAUCCUUUCACCUACAAUGCCAUGAUCCUCCAUUAGAGGAGGCUGAUUAACCCAUAGCAUUUGUUUUCAGGGCCAUGAUGCUGCAAUCCUCUUAAAAAUUUCAUAGCCGAAUGGAUGAAAAAGCAGAAUGAUCCCAGUAAAAACAGAAAAGUUUCAUUUUUUUUUUCUCAUCAGAGUAGCAGCAUCUAUGAACCCACAGCAAUUUGAUCUCAUACCAGGACUUGUAGAACCUAGUCCUUUUCCAGAUAAGCUCAAACAAAUAUUGGAUGAAAUUAUAUCGAUUAAAUGAAUUAACUUGUCAUUGUCUAGGUGUCAGUAAAUUGUGUAUUUAGAAAAGAAAAUCGGAUCUAACCCUAAAAAAAUCACACGAACUUGAUAAAUCGGGCUCGUGUCAUUACAGCUACGAGCGUGCUUAUACACUGCAGCAAAUAUGAUUGAAUCACGUUUGUGUUGCUACAGCAUCAAAUUUAUUUAUCGAAUUUCUAGGAGUUGCCACAAGGCGCAAAUGGUUGCCAGUGACUAUUGUCCCCUGAUUUUCCAUCUAGAUUGUCUCAAUGGCUCAAUUCUUCCUUUUUUCUUUUUUUCUAACUGAAAUCGUUCUUUCUCCCAGAGAGAAAGGGUAAGAGUUAGUAACAGUUUGAUGUUACAGUGAAUUUUCACGGGUUGUUUUUUGUUUUGUUUUGUUCUGUUUUGUUUUUUUGGCGUGGCUUGGCUUGGCCGGUCUCCAAUUUCCAGCGCCAACCGGCCGCUUGUUUCCGGUCGUUUGGCGCGCUAGGAAAUUCUUGCUCCGCCUUUUAAACGCGGCUUUUCGACUAAUCCUGAUGACGAUAUCUUCGAAUUUGACCCAGAUUAUUUGGACAAUCGAAAUCCUUUUGAUGACACUUCCGAUCCUGAUAGUGAAGAUUCAUGUUAUGCUGAAGGAAUGAAUAUACCCGGUCGCCAGCCUUUGAGGUCAGACGAUGAUAGUGCCUUGGCCAAAUCCCUUCCUAUGCGAGUACCUGCUAUGUCAAAUUAUCGUUCCCAGGACACGACAGGACACAGAUAUUGAAGAAGAUAAAACUCCCGUCAAUCCGGAAGAAAUGGCAGCCUCCAUCAAAGCUAUAGCGCGGAGCGUGCAUGGAGGCUCUGAUUCUUUUUGGGACUUGCCUCGUCCGAGGUUAAACACUUUACACUGACGAAUGGAGCAAAAUUUGCCAAUUAAGCUUUGCAUCCAAGUACAGACUGUGUUUUCAAUGGAUCUGUACUGACGUCGAUCUUUUCUCUUGCAGCUGCUUAUAUCUGUUCGUUUCUUGUCUCUUGCAACCAGGUCAGAAAUUUUUUAAAGUUUGUCUCGAUUCUUUAGAGGAAAAAAAUGUUUUGAGUUCAUGCAAUGUAAGAAAAUGAUUAAUUUCAUGUUGAAGAAAUACACUCAUUUUGUGUGAGUUGUCAGUAGUUACUUCCAUGUGUAACAGCCUACAAAGGACAACAUUGUUGUACACACCCAACUGCGGGUGCAAGGUCAGUUUGGAACAAACAUUUUAACGACGUCUCCUUAUUUCUUGGAAAUUUUUAGAAAGGCGGAAGGAACAAUGGACCUCAUCCACUGACGCCCAUCCCGGAAUAAAUCGGUUCCGAUUUUUCCGAACGAUAACUACGAACCUGACCUUGUCCUCCCGAUGGUUAUCUUUUUGUUCUCUCGGCUAGUGUUGUGCGGGGGGUAUAAAUAGGACGCCGUGAACGAAGUACAAUCAGUUCAAACCUAACGCUUCCCAGCGCUUUCCAGCAACUUACAAGCGAAUCAACAUGCAAUCAAUUAUUGCGUUGUCAUUAUUUGUUAUGGCCGCUUCAGUCUGCCACUGUCAGCUGACGGCUUUCCAUCCGUUCGUCAGUGCUGGAUCGGCGAACUUUGCUCCGGUACCCGUGGCCACCUGGGCGCCCUCCUUGUACUCCAUGUCCCAGUAGAGUAUCACGCCCAAGAUGAGCUCGGCCAAGCUUCUUACGGCUACGCUUAUCCCGGACAGGCGGCUUCCAACUUCCGUGACGCCUGGGGUAAUCGGCCCUUCCGGUUGCUGCUCCAGCUGUUGUCCAGGUUGCGCCAGUCCCAUCACCCAUCAUCAGCAAAUUCCAUUCACAGGACGAGCUGGGCCAAGCCGCAUUUGGUCACGUCACUGCCGACCAGUCCGCUUCGAAUUUCCGUGAUGC